GGAACAACUGGACAUCCAUAUGCAAAAAAGUAAACCUUCACACCUUAUACAAUUAACUCAAAUGGAUCACAGAUCUAAAUGGAACACUUUUAUAAAACAAUUUUUAGAAGGAGAAAAUCUUGACCUGUUAGGCAGAGUUUUUAGACAUGACACCAGAUGACCCAUAAAAGGAAAAACUGAUACUGGACUUCACCAAAAUUAAAAACAUUGCUGUCUGAAAGACACUGUUAGAAUGAAGAGA
rnacentral:lncRNA from 10 species